rnacentral:rRNA from 1 species
GCUCAGGAUGAACGCUAGCUACAGGCUUAACACAUGCAAGUCGAGGGGCAUCGGGAAAUAAGCUUGCUUAUUUUGCCGGCGACCGGCGCACGGGUGAGUAACACGUAUCCAACCUGGCCAUCACAAAGGGAUAGCCUUUCGAAAGAAAGAUUAAUACCUUAUAUAAUGGAUUUACCUCCUGGUAUUUUCAUGAAAGAUUAAUCGGUGAUGGAUGGGGAUGCGUUCCAUUAGAUAGUAGGCGGGGUAACGGCCCACCUAGUCUUCGAUGGAUAGGGGUUCUGAGAGGAAGGUCCCCCACAUUGGAACUGAGACACGGUCCAAACUCCUACGGGAGGCAGCAGUGAGGAAUAUUGGUCAAUGGGCGAGAGCCUGAACCAGCCAAGUAGCGUGAAGGAUGACGG